AUGACUGAAGAUUUAUUAUCUAAAGAAAAAGGAUUUCAUCAAUUAAAUAAAGAACUUGAGCAGAAGGCAUAUAAUUUAAUGACAAAAAUAAAUUGUGUUGUUAAUACUUAUAAUAAUGAAUAUUCAAUUUCUAAUUCGAAAAAACAUCAAAUAAAUGUGUCCGAAGAAAAAACAAGUUCAAAUAGUAUACCAAUGCAAAAUGAAUAUAAUUUUCAGGUUCCAGUUAAACGAAAUUCAUCAUUACCACAUAUUUUUAAUCAAUUUUCAACUUCAAAGUUAAAACUAGAAUUACAGAAGGAUAAUGAAGAUGAUAUUUUUAAACAAAGAAACUUAGCAAGUAAAACUGUUUUUAACUUCUUAAAAGCUAAAAUAGAUAUAUUACAUAAUGAGCUGCAAACAAUGCAUAUUGAAUAUAAAAAAAAGAAUGAUAUUUAUAAAAAUUUAGAAUGUGAAAGUAAGAAAAUUGAAAUUAAGUUGAAGACUGAAAUAGAAUCAUUAAAAGAAACAGUCACAAAAUUAGAAAACACUAACAAGGAAAUACAAUGUCAAUCACAGGCAUUACAUGUAGAAAAUUUAAUUUUAAAAAAAGAUUUGGAUAGACUUCAGAAACAAAUAAAAAUAACAAAUCAUCAAUCUAAUAGUUGUACUAUAAGAUUAAAUAGAUCUUUAGAAAACAAUGAUAAACUUAAGAAUGCACUGAAAUAUUCCGAAGUAGAAGAAAAGAUUUUUAUCCUGCUUUAUUUCAUAGGAAUUGAAAAUUCAAAUUAGAGAUCUACAAGAAGAAAAAAAAUUAACAAUUAAUCAUUUGCGAAAACAACUUUCAGAAUUGAUACAAGUGUUUAAAAAACAAAUGUUAAUUGUAGAUAACUUAAAGAAGCAAAAUGCAUGCUUACUGGCAGUUGGACAACUAAAAUUAGCAAAAGAAGAUUUUUCAAGAUUAUUGGAUCAAAAACCUGAAAAUUUAUAAUAUAUAUUAUAUAUAAAACAUUUAUUAAAUGUACGUAACUACUGCAAUACAUUGCAAAAGAUGGAAUAAUUUCAUUUCAUAGCCAUACAUUUUAUACAAUUUUAUAUUACAUGAUAUUAUAUAUCCUUAAUAAUAUUUUUUAUGAAAAAUCUGUGUUUUUCAAUACAUUACCUGUCAUUCAUUAUGAAAUUUGAAAAUUUUGUUUCUUGAUCUAAAUUCUAUAAUUCAUCCCAAUAUCUUUUUUAUUUGAUU